GACGAACGCUGGCGGCGUGCCUAACACAUGCAAGUCGUGCGAGAAAGGUCCUUCGGGACUGAGUACAGCGGCGGACGGGUGAGUAACACGUGAGCGACCUACCCCGAGGCGGGGGACAACCCAGGGAAACCUGAGCUAAUACCGCAUACAGCGCCGGCUUCGAAGCCGAGCGUGAAAGCUGGCCUCUACUUGUAAGCUAGCGCCUCUGGAUGGGCUCGCGGCCUAUCAGCUAGUUGGUGGGGUAACGGCCUACCAAGGCGAUGACGGGUAGCUGGCGUGAGAGCGCGACCAGCCACACUGGGACUGAGACACGGCCCAGACUCCUACGGGAGGCAGCAGUGGGGAAUAUUGCGCAAUGGGCGAAAGCCUGACGCAGCGACGCCGCGUGGGGGAGGAAGGCCUCAGGGUUGUAAACCCCUGUCAGGUGGGACGAACCCCGGCACGUCGAACAGGCGUAUCGAUUGACGGUACCACCAGAGGAAGCUCCGGCUAACUCCGUGCCAGCAGCCGCGGUAAUACGGAGGGAGCAAGCGUUGUUCGGAAUUACUGGGCGUAAAGGGCGCGUAGGCGGCCUGGUAAGUCGCAUGUGAAAGGCCGGGGCUCAACCCCGAGCACUGCAUGCGAUACUGCCUGGCUAGAGAGAGGUAGGGGCGAGCGGAAUUCCCGGUGUACCGGUGGAAUGCGUAAAUAUCGGGAAGAAGACCUGUG
rnacentral:rRNA from 1 species